UACAUACUGUGCGAGCGUUAUUCGGAUUCACUGGGCUUAAAGGGUGCGUAGGCGGCUUGUUAAGUAGGGUGUGAAAGCCCCCAGCUCAACUGGGGAACUGCACUCUAUACUGGCGAGCUGGAGUGAGAUAGGGGUGUGUGGAACUGCCAGUGGAGCGGUGAAAUGUGUUGAUAUUGGCAGGAACGCCGGUGGCGAAAGCGACACACUGGGUCUCAACUGACGCUGAGGCACGAAAGCCAGGGGAGCGAACGGG
rnacentral:rRNA from 1 species